CCAAAAGCUCUUUUCAGAGCCACUGCACUUGACUUGAAAAAUCUGU
rfam:Pongo abelii chromosome X.